AUACGGAGGGUGCAAGCGUUACUCGGAAUCACUGGGCGUAAAGCGCGCGCAGGCGGCUUGAUAAGUUGGAUGUGAAAGCCUACGGCUCAACCGUAGAACUGCAUCCAAAACUGUCAGGCUAGAGUGUGGGAGAGGAAGAUGGAAUUAGUUGUGUAGGGGUAAAAUCCGUAGAGAUAACUAGGAAUACCAAAAGCGAAGACGAUCUUCUGGAACAGUACUGACGCUGAGGCGCGAAAGCGUGGGGAGCAAACAGGAUUAGAAACCCUAGUAGUCC
rnacentral:rRNA from 1 species